AUUGAACGCUGGCGGCAUGCCUUACACAUGCAAGUCGAACGGCAGCACGGGAGCAAUCCUGGUGGCGAGUGGCGAACGGGUGAGUAAUAUAUCGGAACGUGCCCAGUCGUGGGGGAUAACGCAGCGAAAGCUGUGCUAAUACCGCAUACGAUCUACGGAUGAAAGCAGGGGACCGCACGGCCUUGCGCGAGUGGAGCGGCCGAUGGCAGAUUAGGUAGUUGGUGGGGUAAAGGCUCACCAAGCCGACGAUCUGUAACUGGUCUGAGAGGACGACCAGCCACACUGGGACUGAGACACGGCCCAGACUCCUACGGGAGGCAGCAGUGGGGAAUUUUGGACAAUGGGCGCAAGCCUGAUCCAGCCAUGCCGCGUGCAGGAUGAAGGCCUUCGGGUUGUAAACUGCUUUUGUACGGAACGAAAAGGCUCUUUCUAAUAAAGGGGGCUCAUGACGGUGCCGUAAGAAUAAGCACCGGCUAACUACGUGCCAGCAGCCGCGGUAAAAC
rnacentral:rRNA from 1 species